UACGGAGGAUCCGAGCGUUAUCCGGAUUUAUUGGGUUUAAAGGGUGCGCAGGCGGGAAAUUAAGUCGGCGGUGAAAUUUUGCGGCUCAACCGUAAAAGUGCCUUCGAUACUGGUUUUCUUGAGUGUAGAUGAAGUAGGCGGAAUUUGUGGUGUAGCGGUGAAAUGCUUAGAUAUCACGAGGAACUCCGAUUGCGCAGGCAGCUUACUAAACUACUACUGACGCUCAGGCACGAAGGCGUGGGGAUCAAACAGGAUUAGAUACCCCCGUAGUCCCUGAG
rnacentral:rRNA from 1 species